rnacentral:rRNA from 1 species
GAUGAAUGCUGGCGGUGUGCCUUAAGCAUGCAAGUCGAACGGUAAAUUGUCUUCGGACAAUACGAGUGGCAGACGGGUGAGUAAUACGUAGGAACUUACCCUCAAGUGGGGAAUAGCUCAUCGAAAGGUGGGUAAUGCCGCAUAUGGCCGUAAGGUCAAAGUCGCAAGACGCUUGAGGAGGGGCCUGCGCCCUAUCAGGUAGUUGGUGAGGUAAUGGCUCACCAAGCCUAUGACGGGUAGCCGGUGUGAGAGCAUGACCGGCCACAAGGUAACUGAGACACGGUGCCUACACCUACGGGAGGCUG